GACGAACGCUGGCGGCGUGCUUAACACAUGCAAGUCGAACGGAAAGGCCCUGCUUUUGUGGGGUGCUCGAGUGGCGAACGGGUGAGUAACACGUGAGUAACCUGCCCUUGACUUUGGGAUAACUUCAGGAAACUGGGGCUAAUACCGGAUAGGAGCUCCUGCUGCAUGGUGGGGGUUGGAAAGUUUCGGCGGUUGGGGAUGGACUCGCGGCUUAUCAGCUUGUUGGUGGGGUAGUGGCUUACCAAGGCUUUGACGGGUAGCCGGCCUGAGAGGGUGACCGGCCACAUUGGGACGGAGAUACGGCCCAGACUCCGACGGGAGGCAGCAGUGGGGAAUAUUGCACAAUGGGCGGAAGCGUGAUGCAGCAACGCCGCGUGCGGGAUGACGGCCUUCGGGUGGUAAACCGCUUUCGCCUGUGACGAAGCGUGAGUGACGGUAAUGGGUAAAGAAGCACCGGCUAACUACGU
rnacentral:rRNA from 1 species